rnacentral:rRNA from 1 species
ACGAAGGGGGCUAGCGUUGUUCGGAAUUACUGGGCGUAAAGCGUGCGCAGGCGGCUUCUCAAGUCAGGGGUGAAAGCCCAGAGCUCAACUCUGGAAUUGCCUUUGAGACUGAGUGGCUUGAGUACGGGAGAGGUGAGUGGAAUUCCCGGUGUAGCGGUGAAAUGCGUAGAGAUCGGGAGGAACAUCAGUGGCGAAGGCGGCCAUCUGGGACAACACUGACGCUGAAGCACGAAAGCGUGGGGAGCAAACAGGA